rnacentral:tRNA from 1 species
AGACAGUUAGUUUAAAAAAAACCUUUGAUUU